rnacentral:lncRNA from 1 species
UUCCUAGAAAAACAGUAUAUACUGUUUAGGAUAACAAGCACAGUACAUAAUAAUACUGAUGAAUGAUGAGUACUCGGUAAGGUAUCAUCGGUUAAUAAAUCAGUACAUGCUGCUAAGAUUAAGAGAAAGGAAAGGUAUCAUUAGUUAAUAACACAGUAGAUACUGCAAUGAUUAAGAAAAAAAAGAAUCACUGCUAAUUACAAAGAAAAAAAAAUGCAUGGUUGGCCCAUCCAUCCAUGACUUGUGCCAGAUGGAUUCAGAAUGGAAGAAAUGUCAGAAGCCCGCCCUGAUUGGAAAAACAACUAAUCUUUGGCUAAUCGAUAUUAGCUCUGAACCAGAAAUCAAAUAACUACAGAGACGGUGCAGUACGUGUUUCUACCUAACGUUGUUGCCGUGAUUCAUUGACUAGACAUUAUUGUCGAGGAUCUGCGUGAUCAUCCGCCAUCGUUGGACAGUUUUUGCCUCCAGUUUAUGGAAGGCUCUACCAUGAUUGAUGUGGUUUCUCGUAUGAUCCCUGGCUCACUGCACGCGAAAGGGGGAAAAAGGAUGUCAGAGAUUUAAAAGUGACCAUGAAUCAGAAUAUCUAGCAGCAGUCAGAAAUCAAAGAUUGGUACCAACGACGGGGAGACGACGACGACUCCGAUGCCAGUUGUGCCCAGGUUGUGGCGCCGAUCGGCCGAUGGACCACCACGCCGUCGUGGCCGUAUCGCUGAUGUGUUUGCCUGUAGCCGCCACGCCUCGCGUCGUGGCCGAAUCACCGACGGGUUGGAUCGCGUCGUGCCCGAAUCGCUGAUAGAACGCGCCGUGGCUGCCCGCCACCGCGUCUGUAUCGCGAGAGGUGUCUCGGUAUGGUGAGAAAUAAUCGGC